AAUUUUUAUCUCGCUCCUGUUUUUCUUACCUCCAUCUCUCCUUUCUCUCUCUGUUUCUCUCAGCUGUGCCUGAAUUUGUAUAGAAGACUUGUAUAUCAUGACAUAGCUACUGUUUGUAAUUAUAGUAAUGUUCAUUUGAAUGAUUUGUGCCUUGGCUGAUUCAAUACAAGACAAUUAAGACUUUGCUUUUUAGCUGUUACAAUUCCAAUGACACAGUGCAUGUUCAAGAAUGCAUGAAAGAAAGAACACAAACUGUAAACAUUAUUGUUAGAUCUAUAUAGUAUUUAUUUUUAAAAUAUUUUUGUUUGAACUAUUUAUCCACUGUGC
rnacentral:lncRNA from 1 species